rnacentral:lncRNA from 1 species
AUAGAUUGCUUUAUUGUCCUUCUGUUUUGACAGGGAUAGAGAGCUGUAUUGUGUGAUUCACCCUUUGCAAGAGAUGCUGGGGAUGGAAGAGAAAGGAGUUUAGUGCUGGAACAUCAGGCUUUGGUUACGGCACUGAGAGAGUAACAUACCAGCUUGAUACACCGCGGGGCAAUGGACGCGUGCACCAAACCACAGGCAUCUCAUAGUAUUUACUGGAUGCAGCAAAACAACAUGGUAAGUAUCUCAUUAAACCAGAAAUAUUUAUAUUAUGGGUCAAAUCAGAGCCUUCUGCUAAGCAAUGGUUUUUUCCUAGAACAUCAGCAGUAAACCUUGGGUCAGUGUUAAGAGAAAUUUCAUGGGUUAAUUUGCUUUGCGCACUGGGCUAGAGAAGUCAAGUUCACGGGUCUUCCCCUACUUCCCCUGAAAGUAGGUUACUUUCAGCCAGCUGCGUAAAAUAUAUGCCAAACAGUCAUAGGAGGGAUGAGAGAGGUUCUUGAAAAUGUCCUCCUGAGAAUCCAAGUAAUGCAAAAUUAGUAUGUUCUCUAGUAAUGAUAUAUUAAUAUUAUCAUCUUUGGACAUAGUAGCCAACAUUUAAAAAAAAAUACAGUCCCACCUUCUGCAGUAAUAUCCAACUAUUCCCUUAAAACUAGAAAAAUAUCACUUCCUUUUUAGUGCUAAUAUUACAGAAUCCCACCAACUGUUCUGUCCAAUUACUAGUAAGCCUCCACCAACAGGAAGGAUUUUUCAUGGAUGUAAAGUGUUUUCGUCUGGUUCCACCUUACUAAAUUCCUAUUCACGAACCCCAAAUAAUCAUAGUACACGGUAACACUCUUUCUCCUUCUUUUUUUUUUUUUCUCUUUCUCCUUCUUAACAUGUGAAUAAAGUAGUACAUAUUAAGAUUCAUAGUAUGCUACAAAAAAUUCUUGCCUUCUCCAAAGGUCCCCCAUCUCUAGAAUGUUGAGAGACUUUAACUUCGGCUGAUGAGCUUUUUUUUUUUUUUUUUUUUUUGCUUUCCCAGCAUGUGAAUGCUAAAGCUAUAAUCCUGAGAAGCAAAGAGAAAUGGAAGACCUAAUAAAUACGGAUCUCCUUUGUCUCCCUCGAAAGUGCCGAGUAGAAGCCAGAUGUUGCUGCUAAUGACUUUGAUUGAGGGCCUUGGAGAUGGCUUCAGUGCCUCCGCCUCAUCCCACCUCUCAACGUCGGGCCGCUUUCCUCCUAUGAGAGGUCUCCUUGAAUUCCUCUGAUAAAUUGUAGCUGUGUCCUUCAGGACCUCUAAAAGGAACUUGGGUUGCAAAGCUGUGCUCAUAUUUCAUUCCGUGAUAGCCGCGAGCAGAUCUGACCUGGCCUGAAAGUGAUGGAUGGUUAUUGGUUUUAACCAAACAUCAAGACUGCGUAUGGGAAAUGGUGUUUAAGGCCAGGAUCCAAGUACAAAGGAGUGUGUUCUGGAGUUCAGAAAGUUGAUGGGUUUACGGGUCAUCCAGUCAUUGGGAUGCACGCAAAGUACCUUAUCACUGCCUAGCAGCAUUCUGACCACUUUGGACGAUGAAGGCCUUUUGAACUAAGAAGAUCAGGUUUAGCCAAAACAUUCCUCACUGAAACACAACUAAAACCAGUGAGGAGCUAACAGCAAAGGUCGCUUUCAGGGACAAACACCAGCAAAACACACGUGGAGCAAAAGUGUACAAUUUUCUUUAAAAGCUACUUUCUACAGCCUGUUUCACUUUAAGUGUAAAUACAAUUUGUACCUGGACCUAAGUUAUAAUCAAAGACUAAGUUUGAACGGUCCCCAGAUUUGCAUAAGACAGAUAUUAAUUGAAAGCAUAGAAAAAAUAAGCAUUUUACUUCAGAAAAAUGAACAGUAAGUUUUAACUUUC